AAAAAAUAGUGAUAACAAACAAAAAAAUACACUAAGUCACAACAAAUCACUAUCUAAUAAAUAUAUAUCUAAAAAAUCUAGGGAGAAUUUAAAUGGAAAUGAAGUUCCACUCAUGUCAGCAAUUCCCACAUACUCCAGAAACCUAAGGGUUAACAGACAACCAAUUAUACUAGAUCAUUUAGAACCAUCACCUACUACAAGUGAUAUAGUCUAUUACUUUAUACUUAUAAUAAUCAAAAGUUGGUUCCAAAGCUAACAUGUCAUCUAUGAUUAUUAGCCUAGGUUUCUCAAUAUUAAUUUUAAACAUCUAUCAUAUAUUGGUAAAAAAAUAUUGCCAACAUAAUUUUGAU